GACAGAGGGUGCAAACGUUGCUCGGAAUUACUGGGCGUAAAGCGCGUGUAGGCGGACUGGUGUGUCGGAUGUGAAAUCCCCAGGCUCAACCUGGGAACUGCAUUCGAAACUGCCAGCCUUGAGUGGUGGAGAGGGAAGUGGAAUUCCUGGUGUAGAGGUGAAAUUCGUAGAUAUCAGGAGGAACACCAGUGGCGAAGGCGGCUUCCUGGACACCAACUGACGCUGAGACGCGAAAGCGUGGGGAGCAAACAGG
rnacentral:rRNA from 2 species